AAUGCCCUUCUGCUGUGCAGAGUUUGCACUGUGUAACAUUUGUAUCCAAGUUCUUUGUCAAUAGGGUUCAUCAUUGGAGUUGAAAAGUAUAUCAACAUGUCCAAACCCAAGCUACAUUAUUUUAAUGGAAGAGGGAAAGUGGAGUCUAUUUGCUGGCUUUUGGCAGCUGCCAGCAUUGAGUGGCUCUUCCUUAACUCCUGUCAGCUUUCUCCCCAGUGCCUGGUGGAGAGCAAAAAUUAAUUCACUGGAAAAUUGUGCUGAGGAACUCUUGUCUCACAGAAUCAACAUGCUAUACCUCUGAGUUGCCUACGGUACUCUUAAAUCCAUCAGGAAGACCAAGUCACAAAUUGGAUUUCAGAGUUAGGAGGAAGUCACUUUAACCACUGGCUAUUGUCACAAGGGAAUCACUGAACUCUGGUGAAAUUGUGUAGGGUUACAAUUGGACAAACCUAUUACUACUUUUUAAAGGGGCAACAAUUCUGAUCUAGGCAACAAAAGGCCCUAUGGCCUAACUCCAAUAACAGAUAAAAUAAUGGUAAUUAUUGAAGGAUUCCCUGGAGGAGCACUCUAUAACAAUGAUGAAGAAACGACCAGCAGGAAUUUCAAACAGCAAACCUCUUCAACUUCUUUGAGAGAACUACAGAUACAAUAGACGUCAGGAAUCCUGAUAAUAUCACUUGUUUGAAAUUCCAAAAACAUUUUGGAUGUGUUCCAUGUGGGAAGCUUUUCAAUAAGCUAAAAGCCAUGGAUAUCCAGCAUGGAGCAUGGAUUGGAUAAGAAGUUUGUCAAAAAUAAGAAAGAAGCAGUUCAU